rnacentral:rRNA from 1 species
AAUGGACGAAAGUCUGACGCAGCGACGCCGCGUGAAGGAUGAAGGCUUCGGGUGUAAACUCGGUAGACUGGGAAGAAAAGUAAGUUCGUUGAGGGCUUACAUUGACGGUACCAGUCUGAAGCCCCGGCUAAUUACGUGCCAGCAGCCGCGGUAAUACGUAUGGGGCAAGCGUUGUUCGGAAUUAUUGGGCGUAAAGGGCUCGCAGGUGGUUUGUUAAGUUGGUGGUUUAAUCUCUGGGCUCAACCCAGAGUCAGCCAUCAAAACUGGCGAACUUGAGUACGAUAGGGGAUAGCGGAAUUCUCGGUGUAGCGGUGGAAUGCGUAGAUAUCGAGAGGAACACCAAUGGCGAAGGCAGCUAUCUGGAUCGUAACUGACACUCAUGAGCGAAAGUGCGGGGAGCAAACAGGAUUAGAUACCCUGGUAGUCCGCACCGUAAACGUUGUAUACUAGUUGUUGGUGGUUUCAACGCCAUCAGUGACGUCGCUAACGCAUUAAGUAUACCGCCUGGGGAGUAUGCUCGCAAGGG